rnacentral:rRNA from 1 species
GGGUUGUGAGGUUAAGCGACUAAGCGUACACGGUGGAUGCCCUGGCAGUCAGAGGCGAUGAAGGACGUGCUAAUCUGCGAAAAGCGUCGGUAAGGUGAUAUGAACCGUUAUAGCCGGCGAUGUCCGAAUGGGGAAACCCAGUGCAAUUCGUUGCACUAUCGUUAACUGAAUACAUAGGUUAACGAGGCGAACCGGGGGAACUGAAACAUCUAAGUACCCCGAGGAAAAGAAAUCAACCGAGAUUCCCCCAGUAGCGGCGAGCGAACGGGGAGCAGCCCAGAGUCUGAAUCAGCUUGUGUGUUAGUGGAACGGUCUGGAAAGUCCGACGGUACAGGGUGAUAGUCCCGUACACCAAAAUGCACAGGCUGUGAACUCGAAGAGUAGGGCGGGACACGUGGUAUCCUGUCUGAAUAUGGGGGGACCAUCCUCCAAGGCUAAAUACUCCUGACUGACCGAUAGUGAACCAGUACCGUGAGGGAAAGGCGAAAAGAACCCCGGCGAGGGGAGUGAAAAAGAACCUGAAACCGUGUACGUACAAGCAGUGGGAGCACCUUCGGGUGUGACUGCGUACCUUUUUGUAUAAUGGGUCAGCGACUUAUAUUCUGUAGCAAGGUUAACCGUAUAGGGGAGCCGCAGGGAAACCGAGUCUUAACUGGGCGUUAAGUUGCAGGGUAUAGACCCGAAACCCGGUGAUCAGCCAUGGGCAGGUUGAAGGUUGGGUAACACUAACUGGAGGACCGAACCGACUAAUGUUGAAAAAUUAGCGGAUGACUUGUGGCUGGGGGUGAAAGGCCAAUCAAACCGGGAGAUAGCUGGUUCUCCCCGAAAGCUAUUUAGGUAGCGCCUCGUGAACUCAUCUUCGGGGGUAGAGCACUGUUUCGGCUAGGGGGUCAUCCCGACUUACCAACUCGAUGCAAACUACGAAUACCGAAGAAUGUUAUCACGGGAGACACACGGCGGGUGCUAACGUCCGUCGUGAAGAGGGAAACAACCCAGACCGCCAGCUAAGGUCCCAAAGUCAUGGUUAAGUGGGAAACGAUGUGGGAAGGCACAGACAGCCAGGAUGUUGGCUUAGAAGCAGCCAUCAUUUAAAGAAAGCGUAAUAGCUCACUGGUCGAGUCGGCCUGCGCGGAAGAUGUAACGGGGCUAAACCAUGCACCGAAGCUGCGGCAGCGACACUAUGUGUUGUUGGGUAGGGGAGCGUUCUGUAAGCCUGCGAAGGUGUGCUGUGAGGCAUGCUGGAGGUAUCAGAAGUGCGAAUGCUGACAUAAGUAACGAUAAAGCGGGUGAAAAGCCCGCUCGCCGGAAGACCAAGGGUUCCUGUCCAACGUUAAUCGGGGCAGGGUGAGUCGACCCCUAAGGCGAGGCCGAAAGGCGUAGUCGAUGGGAAACAGGUUAAUAUUCCUGUACUUGGUGUUACUGCGAAGGGGGGACGGAGAAGGCUAUGUUAGCCGGGCGACGGUUGUCCCGGUUUAAGCAUGUAGGCUGGUUGUCCAGGCAAAUCCGGAUAAUCAAGGCUGAGGUGUGAUGACGAGGCACUACGGUGCUGAAGUAACAAAUGCCCUGCUUCCAGGAAAAGCCUCUAAGCAUCAGGUAACAUCAAAUCGUACCCCAAACCGACACAGGUGGUCAGGUAGAGAAUACCAAGGCGCUUGAGAGAACUCGGGUGAAGGAACUAGGCAAAAUGGUGCCGUAACUUCGGGAGAAGGCACGCUGGUGUGUAGGUGAAGUCCCUGCGGAUGGAGCUGAGACCAGUCGAAGAUACCAGCUGGCUGCAACUGUUUAUUAAAAACACAGCACUGUGCAAACACGAAAGUGGACGUAUACGGUGUGACGCCUGCCCGGUGCCGGAAGGUUAAUUGAUGGGGUUAUCCGUAAGGAGAAGCUCUUGAUCGAAGCCCCGGUAAACGGCGGCCGUAACUAUAACGGUCCUAAGGUAGCGAAAUUCCUUGUCGGGUAAGUUCCGACCUGCACGAAUGGCGUAAUGAUGGCCAGGCUGUCUCCACCCGAGACUCAGUGAAAUUGAACUCGCUGUGAAGAUGCAGUGUACCCGCGGCAAGACGGAAAGACCCCGUGAACCUUUACUAUAGCUUGACACUGAACAUUGAGCCUUGAUGUGUAGGAUAGGUGGGAGGCUUUGAAGCGUGGACGCCAGUCUGCGUGGAGCCAACCUUGAAAUACCACCCUUUAAUGUUUGAUGUUCUAACGUUGGCCCCUUACCGGGGUUGCGGACAGUGUCUGGUGGGUAGUUUGACUGGGGCGGUCUCCUCCCAAAGCGUAACGGAGGAGCACGAAGGUUAGCUAAUCCCUGGUCGGACAUCAGGAGGUUAGUGCAAUGGCAUAAGCUAGCUUGACUGCGAGCGUGACGGCGCGAGCAGGUGCGAAAGCAGGUCAUAGUGAUCCGGUGGUUCUGAAUGGAAGGGCCAUCGCUCAACGGAUAAAAGGUACCCGGGGAUAACAGGCUGAUACCGCCCAAGAGUUCAUAUCGACGGCGGUGUUUGGCACCUCGAUGUCGGCUCAUCACAUCCUGGGGCUGAAGUAGGUCCCAAGGGUAUGGCUGUUCGCCAUUUAAAGUGGUACGCGAGCUGGGUUUAGAACGUCGUGAGACAGUUCGGUCCCUAUCUGCCGUGGGCGCUGGAGAAUUGAGGGGUGCUGCUCCUAGUACGAGAGGACCGGAGUGGACGCAUCACUGGUGUUCGGGUUGUCAUGCCAAUGGCACUGCCCGGUAGCUAAAUGCGGAAGAGAUAAGUGCUGAAAGCAUCUAAGCACGAAACUUGCCCCGAGAUGAGUUCUCCCUGAGACUAUAAGUCUCCUGAAGGAACGUUAAAGACGAUGACGUUGAUAGGCCGGGUGUGUAAGCGCAGCGAUGCGUUGAGCUAACCGGUACUAAUGAACCGUGAGGCUUAACCUUACAACGCCGAAG